GACGAACGCUGGCGGCGUGCCUAAUACAUGCAAGUCGAACGGUCUUUUCUAUGGAAGCUUGCUUCCACUGAGAAGAUAGUGGCGAACGGGUGAGUAACACGUGGGUAACCUGCCCAUAAGAGGGGGAUAACAUCCGGAAACGGGUGCUAAUACCGCAUAGUUUUCUUGAUCGCAUGAUCGAGAAAGGAAAGACGGCCUUUGUGCUGUCGCUUAUGGAUGGACCCGCGGCGUAUUAGUUAGUUGGUGAGGUAACGGCUCACCAAGACGAUGAUACGUAGCCGACCUGAGAGGGUGAUCGGCCACAUUGGGACUGAGACACGGCCCAAACUCCUACGGGAGGCAGCAGUAGGGAAUCUUCCGCAAUGGACGAAAGUCUGACGGAGCAACGCCGCGUGAGUGAAGAAGGUUUUCGGAUCGUAAAACUCUGUU
rnacentral:rRNA from 1 species